rnacentral:rRNA from 1 species
UACGUAGGGGGCAAGCGUUGUCCGGAUUUAUUGGGCGUAAAGAGCGUGUAGGCGGCCAAACAGGUCCACUGUGAAAACUCGAGGCUCAACCUCGAGAGGUCGGUGGAAACCGUCUGGCUAGAGUCCGGAAGAGGAGAGUGGAAUUCCCGGUGUAGCGGUGAAAUGCGUAGAUAUCUGGAGGAACACCGGUGGCGAAGGCGGCAUCCUGGACCGGUAUUGACGCUGAGGCGCGAAAGCUAGGGGAGCAAACGGG